rnacentral:rRNA from 1 species
ACGCUGGCGGCGUGCCUAAUACAUGCAAGUCGAGCGGACAGAUGGGAGCUUGCUCCCUGAUGUUAGCGGCGGACGGGUGAGUAACACGUGGGUAACCUGCCUGUAAGACUGGGAUAACUCCGGGAAACCGGGGCUAAUACCGGAUGGUUGUCUGAACCGCAUGGUUCAGACAUAAAAGGUGGCUUCGGCUACCACUUACAGAUGGACCCGCGGCGCAUUAGCUAGUUGGUGAGGUAACGGCUCACCAAGGCGACGAUGCGUAGCCGACCUGAGAGGGUGAUCGGCCACACUGGGACUGAGACACGGCCCAGACUCCUACGGGAGGCAGCAGUAGGGAAUCUUCCGCAAUGGACGAAAGUCUGACGGAGCAACGCCGCGUGAGUGAUGAAGGUUUUCGGAUCGUAAAGCUCUGUUGUUAGGGAAGAACAAGUGCCGUUCAAAUAGGGCGGCACCUUGACGGUACCUAACCAGAAAGCCACGGCUAACUACGUGCCAGCAGCCGCGGUAAUACGUAGGUGGCAAGCGUUGUCCGGAAUUAUUGGGCGUAAAGGGCUCGCAGGCGGUUUCUUAAGUCUGAUGUGAAAGCCCCCGGCUCAACCGGGGAGGGUCAUUGGAAACUGGGGAACUUGAGUGCAGAAGAGGAGAGUGGAAUUCCACGUGUAGCGGUGAAAUGCGUAGAGAUGUGGAGGAAUCAUCCAGUGGCGAAGGCGACUCUCUGGUCUGUAACUGACGCUGAGGAGCGAAAGCGUGGGGAGCGAACAGGAUUAGAUACCCUGGUAGUCCACGCCGUAAACGAUGAGUGCUAAGUGUUAGGGGGUUUCCGCCCCUUAGUGCUGCAGCUAACGCAUUAAGCACUCCGCCUGGGGAGUACGGUCGCAAGACUGAAACUCAAAGGAAUUGACGGGGGCCCGCACAAGCGGUGGAGCAUGUGGUUUAAUUCGAAGCAACGCGAAGAACCUUACCAGGUCUUGACAUCCUCUGACAAUCCUAGAGAUAGGACGUCCCCUUCGGGGGCAGAGUGACAGGUGGUGCAUGGUUGUCGUCAGCUCGUGUCGUGAGAUGUUGGGUUAAGUCCCGCAACGAGCGCAACCCUUGAUCUUAGUUGCCAGCAUUCAGUUGGGCACUCUAAGGUGACUGCCGGUGACAAACCGGAGGAAGGUGGGGAUGACGUCAAAUCAUCAUGCCCCUUAUGACCUGGGCUACACACGUGCUACAAUGGACAGAACAAAGGGCAGCGAAACCGCGAGGUUAAGCCAAUCCCACAAAUCUGUUCUCAGUU